UCCCUCAGCAUAUUUUUUUUUAUUAGAAUAGAAUAAUUACUCUAUGCAUGACUUGUUACUAGACUUGAACAGACUAAAACGAGAUAUUUGUGUUUUGCUAGGGUUAAACUUUGCAUUGCGAGGUGGCAAGGAACAUCACAGUCUGAGACUACACUAGAACCCACAGAUUAAGGGGCCACACUCUGACCAGAACGGAUGUAGAUACUUGCAGCACACAGAGGAUGUUUCUAAAACCAAUCCCGGCAGAGUAAAAGAGCGUAAAGUGCAGAAGAAAAGUCCACCCUCUUCAACACGAGAAAUGCUUUCUACUUCAAUGACUUGAAGAAAGCAAAGGACAGAAAAUGGUAUCUAGAAUCGCCCAUGGGUCACACUACCAUACAGACAACAGUGAAGCGGAUCUGUGCCAUGGCCGGAAUUACAUGUAAGAAAACCAAUCAUUCACUCCGGUCCACUGCUGCGACUCGGCUGUAAGAAGCUAAGGUCAGUGAGCAGCAGAUCUGUCAGCAAACUGGACACAGGAGUGAUGCAGUGAGGUUGUACAAAAGGACAAGUGACAAACAAUGGCUUCAGAUGUGUGGGCCUGCAAAGUUCCAAAAACCGAAGAAAACCCAAAGAAAGCGAACACUCUGACUGUGUCUGUCCCCCCUCCUGAAUCAGAAUCAAGCACAACACAAUGGCUUGAUCGCGGAAAUGUCACAAUGACCUUUAAUUUUCAUUAAAGAAAUUUUAUGAAA